CAGCCGCCACGGUAUUACGUAGGGUGCAAGCGUUAAUCGGAAUUACUGGGCGUAAAGCGUGCGUAGGCGGUGAGUUAAGUCUGCUGUGAAAUCCCCGGGCUCAACCUGGGAAUGGCAGUGGAUACUGGCUCGCUAGAGUGUGUCAGAGGAUGGUGGAAUUCCCGGUGUAGCGGUGAAAUGCGUAGAGAUCGGGAGGAACAUCAGUCGCGAAGGCGGCCAUCUGGGACAACACUGACGCUGAGGCACGAAAGCGUGGGGAGCAAACAGGAUUAGAUACCCCCGUAGUCCCUGUCUCUUAUAA
rnacentral:rRNA from 1 species